rnacentral:lncRNA from 1 species
CUGAAAUAGAUGACGAGAGCAAAGAAGUAAGAGAAAACGCUGACAAAGAAAGACUGAAUGAGCUCUUUAAAGACUGCAAAAUACAACUGGAUAAGGAAAACUUGAAAACAAUUAAAAGACUCGGGAAAUUUAACAAAGAAAAGCUAAAUAGACCAAUCCUAGUAAAAUUACCAAGUGCAGAACCUAAGAUCACCCUAUUCAGAAUAUAAUUACAUAAAAACAAACCCAAAAUACGAAAAAGUGGGAGUUAGUAACGACCUAACCCAAGCAGAAAGAGAGCAAGAGAAAAGAUUGUGGGAUCAAGCAAGAAGACAAACCUAGGAAGAGGUUUCGGGGGACUACCAUUUCAGAGUAAGGGGCC